UGCAUCCAAUAUAUUAUCUUUCACUCUUUGAUAUUAAAUUAAAAACGGACAAAUUUUUCAGAAUGUUUGUCAUCUCUCAUUAGCUUGCAAUGAGAUACUUUUGAUUUAUUUAAUACAUGUUCUCUAACUGUCACCUGAUGGUAUGGGGAAAAAACAUACAGCUGGAAAUCACUGGAAAACGCUUUCUGUUUGGUACCAUGUUUUGGAGACAGCCUCAAUAAGUUUAUAUGUAUAAGACGUAGUCAUGACAUGAAUUCUUAAGAGCGAUGCCCCAUUUUUAGGUUAUGUCCGUAGCAGUUCAUAAAUAGAGAAGUCAAACCGCGAUAUAGAAGUCUCUUAUGAAUAAACAUGGAGAAAUUAU